ACCAAAAUUAGGAAAUUCAUAACACGGACUGGGAUGAUUUACUUUCUCAGGAUAACUCAUAAUCUCAAAUAUGUCUGACUAAAAUCUACUCAUUAGCAAAGUUAAAGAAAACUUAUGGAAGGCCAAUGAUUUGGGAUGAGCAUCUUCUGCACUAGGUCCCAACAGACCAGCCCAAAAUGGAGUCACUCACGCUAAUGUUCCCAUUCACCAAACUGAAAACUAAACUGUUUACUUGCACGAUCUCACCUGAGAAGUCAAGAGGGAGAUGAUAGCCAAACACCCAGACAGGAAUAAGAAGCAAAGACGGAUGUGGGUGUGUGACUAGAGGGUCCUGAAGAGAAGAUGAGUCACAUGUGCUGUUUGCCCUGCAAAGCACGUGUCUCUUACUAACAUCAAUAGAACCUGAACCCAUGGAACAGAUCUUUGUCAAUUACUAUUGUUAUUAGUUUUCUUUUUUAUUUAAUGGUUCAGAUUCUGCACCCUCUUCAGGUUUCUAGAUUUCUUUUCUUAUGUAUCUUGAUGACAGGCAAAACUUGCUUCCCAUUAUAGAAGUGGAAGGCUCAUUUCCCAGCCUCCCUUGUAGUUGGGGUUCAGAAUAUGACUGAGCUCUUUGUCAGAUACACCUUUCUAGUGGGGCAAGGAAGCUGUGAGGAGGAAGAACAUUUCUGGAGGUUGUUCACAGCACUGUCAACAAUGUGGACUUUCUAGUGACAACAGUGGCUGAAGAGCGCCAGAUGCAGAGUGACUGGUGACUUCAGGGGCAAGCUGUGAUGUCUAGCUUUAUCCUAGAUGGGCUCUGGAGGAAGAUUUUGGCUGUGGUCCUGGCGGCUGCCAGGGCUUAUUCGUUCCUGCUCAAUUUCUAAGCCUGGUUUCGAAGUCUGUGAAAUACAUGAUACCCUUUUAUUAAAUGCUUUUUCUGCUGAA